rnacentral:misc_RNA from 1 species
GAUGGCUGAGGACGAAGACCCUAUCAUUUUGAAUUUUAAUGACAGUUUACUAAGAAAGUCGGAUGUCAGUCUUUUGGAAGGACCAUAUUGGCUUAACGAUAAUAUCAUUGGAUUUUGUCUAGAGUAUUUUGAGAAGGAGAAGUUCAGCCACUCGGUGGACAGACUGUGUCUCAUGAACCCGGCGUUCGUCCAGCUCAUCAAGUUGUCACGUGUUGAGGAGCUUUCUAUACUGCUGGAGUCUCUGUAUCUGCCGGUGAAACAGUUUGUGUUUCUCCCCGUCAACGACAACCCUCGGGACGCCGCGGGCGGAUCUCACUGGAGUUUGUUGGUAUAUGUGAGGAGUAAACAGGAGUUCCGGCACUACGACUCGUCAGGGAACACUAACAGUGCCAUGGCCAAGAAUCUCGCUUACAAGCUGCAGCCCUUUGUUCAUGCUCCCUUGGGCAGAAUGCAGUUUAUAGAAAUGGAUUGUCCUCAGCAACAAAAUGGUUAUGACUGUGGCUUGUUUGUGAUAGCGAUCACGGAGUACCUGUGUAAGAACUUCUGUGAGUGUGUCAGUAUUCCCCUCCACGAGGUGGUCAACUCUGCGACCGUGGCAAGGAAACGACAAGCUAUCAAGGAACUCAUCGCUGCGGUGGAACGCGACCAGCAUCUAUCCAAGAGUUAACACACGGACAAAAACUAGUAAUCAUGUACAUACAAUUGUCAUGUGUGUGUCUUACAGCUGUGAAAGUUAUAUUUUGGUCAAAUUAUUUAAAAGUGUUUUAACUGUGAACUUGAGACUCUGUUGGUCAAUAUAUCCUGGAUCAUACUUAUAAAUUCUUGUGAUGUAUUAGGUGUAGAUCUAGGGGAGGGUGCUGGUGGUACAUACCCAUUCGACUAAACCUCAGAUUGGCCCAGAAAUCUAGUAUGAAUAUUUAUAAGAUAUUAAACGAGCUUCCAUUUCAUAUCAUGUUUAUGUUCCGAGUGAAAUAAUUUUCAGUUGUCACGAACUUUAGUGAGUGGCAAUGAAAAUUAUUUCACGAGGGACUUUAACAUGAUACGAAAUGGUAGCGAGUUUAAUAUCCUAUUUAUUACCCAUAAUCGAUCUUAAUUUAUAUCACUCAUCUCAUUUUGUUGACAUUCGUGUACGGUUGUAGUGCACUAACUGAUGAUGUCAUCAUGUGACGUCAAAAGUUUUACGUCCUACUUGGCAUUCUAGUGGGACGUAUUACUUUGAUAUGUACCAAGAUAUUUGUAACCAUAUGUGUAAUAAAAUUAAUUUAUUUCUAUUCAGUGGGGAAGAUGUAAUGUCAGGUGGGUGUUUCUGCAGUAUGAUUGCCAUUACAUGGUACAUGUUUAUACCUUAGAAUACUGUUAUUGUGAUACACGUUUAUAAUAUACUUUAGAAUACCAUAACUCCAUCUACAUCUACACAAGCUGUGUUUUAACCCAUGUUCAAUACAACCCAGGUAAAAUCUUAAAAUAACAUCGGUUAUUGUGUCUGGCAUUUGGUAUAAUUGCAUUUUAAAAUUGCUUAAAUUGCUUAAAUAUGGAUACUUUGGGAAGAAUGAAUGUUAACAACCCAGCACAAAAAUACAUCGACUAUUGGUCAUGUUUUAGAAAAACCCAGAACACUGUUGGGUUGUUUCAGAUGUUCCUUUAGAGAAAUAGUGUUUAUGUAACAUGCCAUCCACCGAUGUGCAUAUCGAUCACGCUGCACUGUUUGUGGACCCAUCAUGUGCAGUGCCGUCGGUAGAUCGCACAAGCUUCAGUCGAGUAUGCUGCACCAUCAGUGGAUCCGUUGUUAACGUAGCCAACAGUGUAGCGCAAUCGGUUGAUACUUGCACUAUCUACCAAUGGGCUAUGGCUUCACUAACAAUAGGUCCUUAAUGGUGUGAUCGACUAAUGCUUGUACGCAUCCUGCCGAUGGCUACACUAACUGGAUCCAACGUGAUAUAUACACCUAUAUGAGGGACACAUUUACAUGAGUGAGAUAAAUAGAGUAAAUAUGUUGCUUUUUUUACCUGACUCAUUAUGGCCGCUUUAGCAGUAAGAAAAUGUCCUGGUUUUUUUUAAAUACAAUACCUAAAUAUUUAUACUGGUCGACUAUCUCCACAUUAUUAUAAAUUAUUUUACAGUUUACAUUACAUCUUUUAGAUCCAAAUACUACAAUUUUUUUUUUGACAACAUUCAGUUUCAAUUUCCAUAAUUUACAAUACUUAACAAAAUAAUCGAAGUUUUUCUGUAAAUCAUCCACAUGAUAGUUGGGGUCGAAAUGUUUGAUUAGCUGACAACUUAAAAAAAAUUCAAUUUCUAACACAAUAUUAGUUAGAAAUAAUUCACCAUAAACUUGUGUACUCUCACAAAAUAAUUUUAAAAUGUCAUUUACUUUAGAUUGGUCAAAUAUUAUUAAUAAAUUCACACUAAUAAUUUUAAAAUGUCAUUUACUUUAGAUUGGUCAAAUAUUAUUAAUAAAUUCACACUAAUAAUUUUAAAAUGUCAUUUACUUUAGAUUGGUCAAAUAUUAUUAAUAAAUUCACACUAAUAAUUUUCUUUCCAGUUACCAGCUUCAUGCACUUUGUUUUGUAAUCUAUCAAAAAUACAUUUUCUGAUAACAUCUUUGGUUAAUUGACAAAGGACAAUGUAUGUCAGAAUACAAAGAACAUAACUAUUCUACCUUAGAGCCUGAGAUCAUUUGUAUUACAGGGGAAGAGCAGAUCAAAUAAUCUACCAUACUAACAUCUUUACAGGAUGUUUUCCCUGUGUACCUGUCAUCUCCAAGCCGACCAUUACCAAUUAAAAGAUUAUCCAGAUUAUAUCGAGUCUUAGGUACGAGUAAAGUGUCAAACACACUAGUAACAUUGAAGUCAGUAAUGUCCUCACAGUGAAUACCAAUAUAUCUAAUGAGUGAAAUAUCGUGUUCAGUAUAGUCACACGAUGUAGCAGUUCUUGUAUUCAAUCUCUGAUUAAACUCAACAAAGGUGUAUAACGAACAUGUUUUAUACAUCCCUGUGUAAGUUGGUUCCACAUAUUAUCCUGGGCUAUGGGGGAAUUUCAGGAGGUAAACAAACAGUACCAAUAAUUAAAUCCAACUCCUCUCCCAUUACGUAUAGGAGAGUGUCCUGCUAUGUUUCACCCGUCUCCAUGUUCACUAAUAUUUGAGGUCAUAACCUGAACAUGAAUUGUGUUCUACUAAACACCUGGACAGUGCAGACUAAAUAACUAUAUUACAAAACAAUAGUGACACCAUAGCUUAUGAUGGUUUUACAGUUUCGUAGUGCUUAGAAAGGUAUGGGUCCUGAUUUUCAUGAUAAAUAUAUCAGUAUAUAUGUGAACCACUCAAAUCAUAUUCUAUAUCUAAAAAUAAUGCUUUAGUAAGUAAUAAUAUAAGUACUUUUUUAAAACAAAUAUUUCAGAUCACUCACUGAUCCAUAGAACAUAAUAUAUAUACCUAUUAUAUACUGGAGAACUCCCAAUAUCGCAGUACUUAACAGUGUUAUUCAAUUAAAAGAAUAUCAUAACAUUUCUAACAAACAAAAACAAAAAUAUAUAUAUUUAUUCUAUAACUUACCUAUAAUAUCCAUGACAUAAACCCAUUUGAUACUUACCAUUAUUAACUGUUAAUAAUGUUUUGCUGUCAGUGGGUCAUUUGUUUACAGCCAAUUAGACUUGAGAUUUAGUUGAAGUCAAACUACAGACUCAGUUGAUAUUUUCCAUAUUAAAAAACACUCCUGAUGAAUCCUCUCUCUUAGUGGCAUUUUGUUUUUUCUGUAUUCUUCAAAGCACUUCUUGAUAUAACAUGGUUGAUGGUUGGACGUGAUUUACUUCUUGAAAUGGCGGUUUCAGUUGACUGUGACACAAUCUUUUAAUGUCACUCAAGGAUAGUUACAGUUGUCUGUGACACAAUCUUCUAACAGUGUCACUCAAGGAUAGUUUCAAUUGUCUGUGACACAAUCUUCUAAUAAUGUCACUCAAGGAUAGGUUCAGUUGUUUGACACAAUCUUCUAACAAUGUCACUCCAAGAUAGGUUCAGUUGUCUGUGACACAAUCUUCUAAUAAUGUCACUCAAGGAUAGGUUCAGUUGUCUGACACAAUCUUCUAACAAUGUCACUCAAAGAUAGGUUCAGUUGUCUGUGACACAAUUUUCUAACAAUGUCACUCAAGAAUAGUUUCAGUUGUCUGUGACACAAUCUUCUAAAUGUCACUCGGGGAUGUCAUUAAUAGGCGACAGUUUGUGAUUUUUCAUGUCUGUGUAAUAGAUGUUCAGUGUAUAGAACUACAAAGAAUAAGGCUUUUUAUAGCGUGACCAUCAAGAUCAGUUGGCUAUACUGAGUAUGAUAAAUCAACACCUAGCUAACGAGAUCAAAGCCGGGAGUGGGUGUGGCCUAAUUGGGAGGUCAGCCAGCGGGCUGUAUGUUUGUAAGACCUAGCUCAUUUGCAUAAAUGGGGCCAGAGUGACCCCACCACUACUUAUGUCAUUAGUAUUUGUUUCAUUAGUUUAUCUUUAAGAUUUUUAGUUUUAUUACAAGUUUUAAUGGGCUAUCAAAAGACACUAUUUAUCUACACAAAAAGCUAUUGAAAAUGUUUAAGAUAUUUUUGAAAUGCCAUUGAGCAUUGGUUACCACUGCUGAAACGAGUAGUAGUAUUCGGCAAAAGUAUGUUAAUCUGAAAUUGUUUUUUGCAAGUUGGCUGUGUAGAUUAAUGUUUGUCAUAUGUCAGAUAGUAUCAACCAUGGAAAAACAUGCUUGGCUUAGUCUGAGGUGGAGUAACAUCAUGCUUAUAUGGGAGGCACUUUCUUUGGGUGACCCCCCUCCCCCUCCAUUAUUAUAUCCUGGCUCAGCCGGUUGAUGUUUUUUAAUAGUUUAUGCACUCACUGUUCAAAUAAAUCCAUUCUGGACCCAACCUCUGGCAAAACUAAGCUGUUCCCCCCAGAAUAGAAGUUUGCCGAGUAUGUGACCAAAGGCCUAAUCACUUUCACUUAAAGGUACUUAGCCCUCAAAUAGAAGUUUGCCGAGUAUGUGACCAAAGGCCUAAUCACUUUCACUUAAAGGUACUUAGCCCUCAAAUAGAAGUUUGCCGAGUAUGUGACCAACGGCCUAAUCACUUUCACUUAAAGGUACUUAGCCCUCAAAUAGAAGUUUGCCGAGUAUGUGACCAAAGGCCUAAUCACUUUCACUUAAAGGUACUUAGCCCUCAAAUAGAAGUUUGCCAAGUAUGUGACCAAAGGCCUAAUCACUUUCACUUAAAGGUACUUAGCCCUCAAAUAGAAGUUUGCCGAGUAUGUGACCAAAGGCCUAAUCACUUUCACUUAAAGGUACUUAGCCUUCAAAUAGAAGUUUGCCAAGUAUGUGACCAAAGGCCUAAUCACUUUCACUUAAAGGUACUUAGCCCUCAAAUAGAAGUUUGCCGAGUAUGUGACCAAAGGCCUAAUCACUUUCACUUAAAGGUACUUAGCCUUCAAAUAGAAGUUUGCCAAGUAUGUGACCAAAGGCCUAAUCACUUUCACUUAAAGGUACUUAGCCUUCAAAUAGAAGUUUGCCGAGUAUGUGACCAAAGGCCUAAUCACUUUCACUUAAAGGUACUUAGCCUUCAAAUAGAAGUUUGCCAAGUAUGUGACCAACGGCCUAAUCACUUUCACUUAAAGGUACUUAGCCCUCAAAUAGAAGUUUACCGAGUAUGUGACCAAAGGCCUAAUCACUUUUCACUUAAAGGUACUUAGCCCUCAAAUAGAAGUUUGCCGAGUAUGUGACCAAAGGCCUAAUCACUUUCACUUAAAGGUACUUAGCCCUCAAAUAGAAGUUUGCCGAGUAUGUGACCAAAGGCCUAAUCACUUUCACUUAAAGGUACUUAGCCUUCAAAUUGAAGUUCGUUUUCUGAGAUGACCAACCAGACUAUGUGUUCAUCUACUUGCCAGUAAUACACACACAAAAAGACAAAAUUAAGUAUGUAUUAGUCUGUAGCAUGUAUAUAUGAUUAUGAAUCUGUCAUUAGCAUAUCCAAAUCUGUAUCGCAGCACAUAACUGAUUCCAAAAGAAUUUAAGAUAGAGUUGUGAGGUUGCAGUGCCUGCAAAGGAGAACUAUGAAUUAGAGUUUAGAAACACUUUUUGAAUGUGACAGAAUGUAGCUAGCAUCUUACAAAAAAUGACGUCAUGUAUCUUGUAUGAUGUCACGACAAAAGCCUUGCUAGGUUGACAAUACUCUA